AGGCAGGCUCGCUUCAUCGCUGUGGUUCGCCACAGAGGAAAGUCUGGACAGCAUAGAGCAACCCACCGGUGAAUAGCCGGGAACUACCAAGUAGUUACAGCAAGUGCCACAGAAAAUAACCGCCUUCGGGUAAGGGUGAAAAUGUAGGGUAAGAGCCUACGCUAUUGGAGGGUAACUUUUAAUAGGGGUAAACCUUGGGUGCUGUAAUGCCAUGUAUAGGUUCGCUAGAAGAGCGGCUCGUUCAAUGAACCAGGGUAGGCAGCACGACCUUGUUGGUAACAGCAAGGCUAGAUAAAUGAUGAAGUAGAAACAGAAUCCGGCUUACGAGGUCUGCCUUUUU
rnacentral:RNase_P_RNA from 1 species